UACGGAGGGUGCAAGCGUUAUCCGGAUUCACUGGGUUUAAAGGGUGCGUAGGUGGAGUGGUAAGUCAGUGGUGAAAUCUCCAAGCUUAACUUGGAAACUGCCGUUGAUACUAUCAUUCUUGAAUAUCGUGGAGGUAAGCGGAAUAUGUCAUGUAGCGGUGAAAUGCUUAGAUAUGACAUAGAACACCGAUUGCGAAGGCAGCUUGCUACACGAUCAUUGACACUGAGGCGCGAAAGCGUGGGGAUCAAACAGG
rnacentral:rRNA from 1 species